UCUCCGUAGGUGAACCUGCGGAGGGUUCAUUACUGAGUGAGGGCUUCGGUCCGACCUCCAACCCUUUGUGAACCAAACUUUUUGCUUCGGGGGCGACCCUGCCGCUUCGGCGGGGGGGCGCCCCCGGAGGCCAUUAAACACUGAAUCAUUGCGUCGGAGUUAAAGUAAAUUAAACAAAACUUUCAACAACGGAUCUCUUGGUUCCAGCAUCGAUGAAGAACGCAGC
rnacentral:misc_RNA from 1 species